AUCAUUAUUAUUGUUAUUAUUAUUAUUAUUAUUAUUAUUUAACAGCCGUUUACUACUGGCCAUGUAUGGAUGUGAUAUGAUUACUAUCUUUGUUGUAUGGCUUGGCUCAGGUUAAAACCUUAUGUAAAACAGAUUUCCCACUGAACAAAUAC